UGGGGAAUUUUGGACAAUGGGCGAAAGCCUGAUCCAGCGAUGCCGCGUGUGUGAAGAAGGCCUUCGGGUUGUAAAGCACUUUUGUCCGGAAAGAAACAGCCUAAGCUAAUAUCUUAGGUGAAUGACGGUACCGGAAGAAUAAGCACCGGCUAACUACGUGCCAGCAGCCGCGGUAAUACGUAGGGUGCAAGCGUUAAUCGGAAUUACUGGGCGUAAAGCGUGCGCAGAUGGUCUUGUAAGACAAGCGUGAAAUCCCUAGGCUUAACCUUGGAAUGGCGUUUGUGACUGCAAAACUAGAGUGUAUUAGAGGGGGGUAGAAUUUUACAUGUAGCAGUGAAAUGCGUAGAUAUGUGAAGGAAUACCGAUGGCGAAGGCAGCCCCCUGGAAUAACACUGACAUUCAGGCACGAAAGCGUGGGGAGCAAACA
rnacentral:rRNA from 1 species